rnacentral:rRNA from 1 species
ACGGAAGGCAGCAGUGAGGAAUAUUGGUCAAUGGACGGAAGUCUGAGCCAGCCAUGCCGCGUGAAGGAAUAAGGCCCUAUGGGUCGUAAACUUCUUUUGUGGUGGAGCAAUAAGGUGCACGUGUGCAUCGAUGAGAGUACAUCACGAAUAAGCAUCGGCUAACUCCGUGCCAGCAGCCGCGGUAAUACGGAGGAUGCGAGCGUUAUCCGGAUUUAUUGGGUUUAAAGGGUGCGUAGGCUGUUCUUCAAGUCAGAGGUGAAAUACCGGGGCUUAACCCUGGAACUGCCUUUGAUACUGGAGGGCUUGAAUACUGUUGCCGUGGGAGGAAUGAGUAGUGUAGCGGUGAAAUGCAUAGAUAUUACUCAGAACACCGAUUGCGAAGGCAUCUCACGAAGCAGCGAUUGACGCUGAGGCACGAAAGCGUGGGGAUCAAACAGGAUUAGAUACCCUGGUA